CCCUUUCACAUGUCAUUUCCUUUUUCACAGUAACUUCAGCACUGUUUCUCAAUAAAGUUCAAAACUUUGAAAUGGGCUUUUUGUACAUUCUUUUUCAAGUGAUUAUUCAGUUAAUAACGGUCAGUUGGUGCGAACACAGCAGUUCAUCAAAUUGUAUGGAAUUGGAAGGGUUAUUCGAUUCGCUAUCACAAUGCUGGGAACAGUGGCCCUGCUCUAGUUUUAGCUCAUGGUUUUGGAGCAAACAGUUUUCUGGUCAUUAUGCAGAAGUCGUUGGUCUUCAGGCUUCAGUUAUAGACCCAAAGAUCUGUGAAGGCAGUAUGUUGUUACUUAUAUCUUUGCGUUUGCUACACAUUAAAAGGCAGCCAUGAUUUGGUAGGCCUUUUAUCAGAUCAUUCCAAAGUCUGCUGAGGUAAACAGAUAUGAUUUCUUUUGUUAGUCACGAAGCUUUAAACUUGCCAUCUUUAACUUUAGCUGUUUUUGCAGGAAUUCUGCUUUGGGAAAAAUUUGCUUCAACUCAGUUGCCAUUCCAUAGUCUGUGAGAAACAUUGUGUGUCUGAUGUUGUUAGGUGGCAUGUUAAGUAUUUUCCUUUUAAAGAACGAUGUUUUUUGUCUUUUUUGCUGGAUGUUGGCAGAGCCCUACAUCUGAUAUCUAAAGUAAGUUUCUCAUGGAGAUUCUUGACAAAUGGUGGAUACUUUCUCUUGUGCUAGAAAAGAUAACCGUUUGAUUAUAUUUGUUGAUGAGCAUGAAGGAUUCAGCACCUCAACUUGUGAGCCCCUCGUGGAGUCUUUGGUAGCAUGUAUUGCAUCAUAGCAAGUGUUUCUGCUGUUUGAUAGUAGACA